rnacentral:rRNA from 1 species
GACGAACGCUGGCGGCGUGCUUAAUACAUGCAAGUCGAGCGGUCUCGCGCAAGCGGGACAGCGGCGGACGGGUGAGGAACACGUGAGUAACCGGGCACGGAGUGGGGGAUAUCGGGCCGAAAGGCGCGCCAAUCCCGCAUAGCGUCCCCGGCGUGCCAACGCCGGGGGGAAAGGGAUCUUCGGAUCUCGCUCCGUGGGGGGCUCGCGGCCCAUUAGCUAGUUGGGGGGGUAAUGGCCUCCCAAGGCGACGAUGGGUAGCCGGCCUGAGAGGGUGAUCGGCCACACUGGGACUGAGACACGGCCCAGACUCCUACGGGAGGCAGCAGUAGGGAAUCUUCCACAAUGGGCGCAAGCCUGAUGGAGCAACGCCGCGUGAGUGAAGACGGCCUUCGGGUUGUAAAGCUCUGUCGGUUGGGACGAGGGCCCCGGAAUCUCCGGGGCGGGACGGUACCGAUCAAUGAAGCCCCUGCUAACUACGUGCCAGCAGCCGCGGUAAGACGUAUGGGGCAAGCGUUGUCCGGAAUUACUGGGCGUAAAGGGCGUG